rnacentral:rRNA from 1 species
CCCCUAGAUGUUCUGGGCCGCACGCGCGCUACACUGAACAGUUCAACAAGUCUUAACCUUGGCCGAUAGGUCUGGGUAAUCUUUGAACGCUGUUCGUGAUUGGGAUAGACCUUUGCAAUUAUGGGUCUUCAACGAGGAAUUCCUAGUAAACGCAAGUCAUCAGCUUGCAUUGAUUACGUCCCUGCCCUUUGUACACACCGCCCGUCGCACCUACCGAUUGAAUGGUCCGGUGAAAUCUCGGGACGGCGGCUUGGUCGCUUGCGUCCGACUGCUGAAACUUGAUUAAACCAUAUCAUUUAGAGGAAGGUGAAGUCGUAACG